rnacentral:rRNA from 1 species
GAUGAACGCUGGCGGCAUGCCUAACACAUGCAAGUCGAGCGAACGGACGAGAAGCUUGCUUCUCUGAUGUUAGCGGCGGACGGGUGAGUAACACGUGGAUAACCUACCUAUAUGACUGGGAUAACUUCGGGAAACCGUAGCUAAUACCGCAUAAUAUUUUGAACCGCAUGGUUCAAAAGUGAAAGACGCUCUUGCUGUCUCUUAUAGAUGGUUCCGCGCUGCAUUAGCUAGUUGGUAAGGUAACGGCUUACCAAGGCAACGAUGCAUAGCCGACCUGAGAGGGUGAUCGGCCACACUGGAACUGAGACACGGUCCAGACUCCUACGGGAGGCAGCAGUAGGGAAUCUUGGGCAAUGGGCGAAAGCCUGACGGAGCAACGCCGCGUGGGUGAUGAAGGUCUUCGGGUCGUAAAGCUCUGUUAUUAGGGAAGAACAUAUGUGUAUGUAACUGUGGACAUCUUGACGGUACCUAAUGAGAAAGCAACGGCUAACUACGUG